rnacentral:rRNA from 1 species
UACGUAGGGUGCGAGCGUUGUCCGGAAUUAUUGGGCGUAAAGAGCUCGUAGGCGGUUUGUUGCGUCGGCCGUGAAAACCUGCAGCUUAACUGUGGGCCUGCGGCCGAUACGGGCAGACUUGAGUUCGGUAGGGGAGAUCGGAAUUCCUGGUGUAGCGGUGAAAUGCGCAGAUAUCAGGAGGAACACCGGUGGCGAAGGCGGAUCUCUGGGCCAUUACUGACACUGAGGAGCGAAAGCCAGGGGAGCAAACGGG